ensembl:lncRNA novel transcript
AAUUUGCUCUCUGCCUCACUGCCUGAGCUGGAACAUUUGUCUUCUGUCCUCAGACUGGGCUUUACCCCAUCUACUCCCAGGAUACUCAGACCUUCAGACUCUGGCUGAAUUAUAACACUGACUUUCCUGGGUCUCCAGCUUGCAAAUGGCAGGCUAUGGAACUUCUCAGCCCACAAUCACCCUUCAGGGUAGACCGAGGAGAGCACCUCCCCUUCCUGGUGAAGGGAGCCCGAUACACGCUGGUGCCGGCUGGCCAAGAAGGAGGUGGACAAACCUGGCGACCGCUCCCUGGCACCACCUCACCAGAGGACAGCUCACACCUCCACAGGGGUCAGAAGAAAGGAGCUGCCCUGGGGAUGGCUGUGUAUCCCUACAACUGCCAGGCACAUGCCCCUUGAACACCCGAUGCUACGUGUCCCAAAGGAAACUGGUCUCCACCCACCCCCGGCCCGUCCUCGUCCUGGGUACCCCACCUUAGUAAAUGGCGCCACCAUCUGCCCGGUCACUCAGCGAGAAACUCAACUCCUGGCAGCAGAUGACGGGCACUCUGGUUAAAUGACUCUCUCCAGCCUCCAAGUUCAACCUGCAGGGAAGCCCUGGAAAUCCUGUCUCCCUCUGCCCUGCCUCUCCUUCAGCUCCGAACCCCACCCCACUCAGUACAUGGCCCCCCAACAGGCUUUCAAAUGUCUGCCUUCCCCAAACCAAUCUGUGGUUUUAAAAGAAGUAAGGUCAGGUACAGUAGCUCAUGCCUGUAAUCCCAGCACUUUGGGAGGCCGAGGCAGGCGGAUCACCUGAGGUCAGGAGUUUGAGACCAGUCUGGCCAACAUGGCGAAACCCCGUCUCUACUAAAAA